GGACAGAGCAGACAAAAGGACCUGGAGCUCUCUCUGCAUCUUGCCAGGAUGAGAAAUGCAUCCAGCAGCUCUGCUGCAUUUUGGCUGCAUGCACUCCCACAGAAGCCAUCCUGCUGAUUUUUCUGCCUUCUGAGACAUCUGAGCUAUGGGUGUGAAAUAUUUCUCCAAGAGCUGAUGAGACCUGGCUGGAGGAGGCUCCUAAUUCACUCAGCUUUAUUUCUUUAUUGUCCUUGGAAGGCCAGCAGUCUUUUACCUACGUCUGCAGAGUAUGCCAGAAAGAGGUUGCAAGAUUCCAUGGGAACAAGGAAUGAAAUUAAUUCCAGAUA